GACGGAGGAUGCAAGUGUUAUCCGGAAUCACUGGGCGUAAAGCGUCUGUAGGUGGUUCAAUAAGUCAACUGUUAAAUCUUGAGGCUCAACUUCAAAGUCGCAGUCGAAACUAUUGGACUCGAGUAUAGUAGGGGUAAAGGGAAUUUCCAGUGGAGCGGUGAAAUGCGUAGAGAUUGGAAAGAACACCGAUGGCGAAGGCACUUUACUGGGCUAUUACUAACACUCAGAGACGAAAGCUAGGGUAGCAAAUGGG
rnacentral:rRNA from 1 species